rnacentral:rRNA from 1 species
AGGGGUUUGAGCGCUGCAUGCCCCUUCCCCGCUGGAUGUCGUGGUGGUCUGGUCCGUCGUUCUGGCUUGGUGCUGGGGCUGCUCCCUGUGUCGGUGGAGAUGCUCGUGGUGGGUGGAUGCCGGGGCGGCGGCCCCGGGCUGUGCGGGCGGCACCGGCUCUACGACGAGCGGCGGCCACGAGGGCUGUGCUGUAGCCUCGGUCAUGCGGGCGACGAGGUUGUGGUAGGUGCUCUUCUGCUUGCGUCUGGUUGGGUGGCUGCCCAGGUGGUGGUGAGGUCGUGGGAUCCUAGCGAAGGAGUAGGCGAGGAGAUGUUUGUCAAUGCUGGUUUCUUGCUGCCCGCCCCCUUCUGCUGGUGUGGCUACUGCUCAUGGCGUGUGACCUUGGUG